rnacentral:rRNA from 1 species
UUCCGGUUGAUCCCGCCGGACCUGACUGCUAUCGGAUUGAUACUAAGCCAUGCGAGUUUUUGUAGCAAUACAAGGCAUACGGCUCAGUAACACGUAGUCAAUCUAACCUAUGGACGAGGAUAACCUCGGGAAACUGAGAAUAAUACUCGAUAGAUCAUUAUGCCUGGAACGGUUUAUAGUUAAAAUGAAUUUCGCCAUAGGAUGGGACUGCGGUCUAUCAGCUUGUUGGUGAGGUAAUGGCCCACCAAGGCUAUAACAGAUACGGGCUCUGAGAGGAGAAGCCCGGAGAUGGGUACUGAGACACGGACCCAGGCCCUAUGGGGCGCAGCAGGCGAGAAAACUUUGCAAUGUGCGAAAGCACGACAAGGUUAAUCCGAGUGAUUCCUGCUAAAGGAAUCUUUUGUUAGUUAUAAUACCACUAAUGAAUAAGGGGUGGGCAAGUUCUGGUGUCAGCCGCCGCGGUAAAACCAGCACCUCAAGUGGUCAGGAUGAUUAUUGGGCCUAAAGCAUCCGUAGCCGGCUCUGUUAGUUUUCGGUUAAAUCUAUAUGCUCAACAUAUAGGCUGCCGGGAAUACUACAAAGCUAGGGAGUGGGAGAGGUAGACGGUACUCCGUAGGAAGGGGUAAAAUCCUUUGAUCUAUGGAUGACCACCUGUGGCGAAGGCGGUCUACCAGAACACGUUCGACGGUGAGGGAUGAAAGCUGGGGGAGCAAACCGGAUUAGAUACCCGGGUAGUCCCAGCUGUAAACUAUGCAAACUCAGUGAUGCAUUGGCUUGUGGCCAGUGCAGUGCCGCAGAGAAGUCGUUAAGUUUGCCGCCUGGGAAGUACGUACGCAAGUAUGAAACUUAAAGGAAUUGGCGGGGGAGCACCACAAGGGGUGAAGCCUGCGGGUUCAAUUGGAUUCAACGCCGGAA